rnacentral:lncRNA from 1 species
AAAUCAUAGAGACAGAACGCAGGUUGGUGGUUUCAAGGGACUGUAGGAGAGAAUGAGAAGAAGCUGCUUAGUGGACCUGUUCCCAGCCAGAGUCCAGUGAGGAAGCAAUGUGGACAGGUGGAGGCCGGAUUAGGAAGAAGCAGAGCCAUGGCCAGGUGAGAAGACUGAGCAGGGUGGAGAUGAAAAGCAAUAGCUUACAGCUGGAGAAGUAGUUUGGGACUCAUCUCCGCUUAGACUGACCCCAGCUCCACUGAGCUGUCAAAACACAGGGUUUUUAUCCUGCAGACUUGCCACACAAACAGCAUGCCCUCUGCCCUGCUUCAAUCUGGGGUAAAAGGUGAGGGAAGGAGGUACAGGGAGGAGACUGGGCAGCUGACACACUGAAAGAAGAGCCGGGCAAGGAGCUGGGGGAGAGGCAGAGCAGGGGUGGUGAGGGCGGUUUCUAAGCUGCUUGCAUCUUUCCUUCUGUUUUUAGGGUUGUUUUCAAACUCUUCACGUUGUCUGACUUCAUACCCAGCACAUCCUCUAAGACCUGCAAUGACUGCUUCUCAAUUCUUACUGUUUUUUGUCACUUUUCUUUCAAUCCGAUUCAAAAAAUGUUUACCCAGCUCCAUGCCAAAUCCAGGAACUAUGCUAAGAAUUGGAAUUUAAAAGAAAAUAAGGCAUGAACCCUAUUCUCAGGGAAGUCACAGUCUAAUGAGGAAGAACAUCACACAGUACAUCACAUUAAUACAGGACUAUGAGCACAACAGAAGAAUUAAGCACCUGCCAGGGCAGAGGGGAUGUGGAGGAAGGGAGCCUGGGGAAUGACGGCUGGCUUGUUAGGGGAAGAGAUUCCUGAACUGGAUAAUUAAAGAUAAACGGGAGGUAUAUUUAGUAUCAAUAACAUGACUGAUAGUGAUAAUUGCUUUCAAUACACAAUGUGUUUAUGCUAGAUAACACUGAAUCAGCGUAAAUAAAACAAGUGCUGUAUUAUGAGGGGAAAUUAAUGGAACCAUAACCAAGUUAGGACACUAAGCCAAUUCUGCAAAUCUUUAACAGAUCAAAUAGCCAAGAAUAAAUGGGUUAUAG